rnacentral:rRNA from 1 species
AUGCAGUCGAACGGUGAAGCCAAGCUUGCUUGGUGGAUCAGUGGCGAACGGGUGAGUAACACGUGAGCAACCUGCCCUGAACUCUGGGAUAAGCGCUGGAAACGGUGUCUAAUACUGGAUAUGAGCUGCGGAGGCAUCUUCGUGGUUGGAAAGAUUUUUCGGUUUGGGAUGGGCUCGCGGCCUAUCAGCUUGUUGGUGAGGUAAUGGCUCACCAAGGCGUCGACGGGUAGCCGGCCUGAGAGGGUGACCGGCCACACUGGGACUGAGACACGGCCCAGACUCCUACGGGAGGCAGCAGUGGGGAAUAUUGCACAAUGGGCGGAAGCCUGAUGCAGCAACGCCGCGUGAGGGAUGACGGCCUUCGGGUUGUAAACCUCUUUUAGCAGGNAAGAAGCGAAAGUGACGGUACCUGCAGAAAAAGCGCCGGCUAACUACGUGCCAGCAGCCGCGGUAAUACGUAGGGCGCAAGCGUUAUCCGGAAUUAUUGGGCGUAAAGAGCUCGUAGGCGGUUUGUCGCGUCUGCUGUGAAAUCUGGGGGCUCAACCCCCAGCCUGCAGUGGGUACGGGCAGACUAGAGUGCGGUAGGGGAGAUUGGAAUUCCUGGUGUAGCGGUGGAAUGCGCAGAUAUCAGGAGGAACACCGAUGGCGAAGGCAGAUCUCUGGGCCGUAACUGACGCUGAGGAGCGAAAGGGUGGGGAGCAAACAGGCUUAGAUACCCUGGUAGUCCACCCCGUAAACGUUGGGAACUAGUUGUGGGGUCCAUUCCACGGAUUCCGUGACGCAGCUAACGCAUUAAGUUCCCCGCCUGGGGAGUACGGCCGCAAGGCUAAAACUCAAAGGAAUUGACGGGGACCCGCACAAGCGGCGGAGCAUGCGGANUUAAUUCGAUGCAMCGCGAAGAACCUUACCAAGGCUUGACAUACACGAGAACGCUGCARAAAUGUAGAACUCUUUGGACACUCSUGAACAGGUGGUGCAUGGUUGUCGUCASCUCGUGUCGUGAGAUGUUGGGUUAAGUCCCGCAACGAGCGCAACCCUCGUUCUAUGUUGCCAGCACGUAAUGGUGGGAACUCAUGGGAUACUGCCGGGGUCAACUCGGAGGAAGGUGGGGAUGACGUCAAAUCAUCAUGCCCCUUAUGUCUUGGGCUUCACGCAUGCUACAAUGGCCGGUACAAAGGGCUGCAAUACCGCGAGGUGGAGCGAAUCCCAAAAAGCCGGUCCCAGUUCGGAUUGAGGUCUGCAACUCGACCUCAUGAAGUCGGAGUCGCUAGUAAUCGCAGAUCAGCAACGCUGCGGUGAAUACGUUCCCGGGUCUUGUACACACCGCCCGUCAAGUCAUGAAAGUCGGUAACACCUGAAGCCGGUGGCCCAACCCUGUG